UGGGGAAUAUUGCACAAUGGGCGCAAGCCUGAUGCAGCCAUGCCGCGUGUGUGAAGAAGGCCUUCGGGUUGUAAAGCACUUUCAGCGAGGAGGAAGGUGGUGAGCUUAAUACGCUCAUCAAUUGACGUUACUCGCAGAAGAAGCACCGGCUAACUCCGUGCCAGCAGCCGCGGUAAUACGGAGGGUGCAAGCGUUAAUCGGAAUUACUGGGCGUAAAGCGCACGCAGGCGGUUUGUUAAGUCAGAUGUGAAAUCCCCGGGCUCAACCUGGGAACUGCAUUUGAAACUGGCAAGCUAGAGUCUCGUAGAGGGGGGUAGAAUUCCAGGUGUAGCGGUGAAAUGCGUAGAGAUCUGGAGGAAUACCGGUGGCGAAGGCGGCCCCCUGGACGAAGACUGACGCUCAGGUGCGAAAGCGUGGGGCAGCAAACAGGAUUAGAUACCCUGGUAGUCCACGCUGUAAACGAUGUCGAUUUGGAGGUUGUGCCCUUGAGGCGUGGCUUCCGGAGCUAACGCGUUAAA
rnacentral:rRNA from 1 species